rnacentral:lncRNA from 1 species
GGCGGCGCGAGGCAGAGCCAGAGCCCGGGGUCGGUCAAUCAGGUGCGGGCGGCUGGAGCAUGGCUUUGUGAGGCCUCUGAGGGGACCCGGCGGUGGCGGCCACGGCGGGACGGGCCGCCCACCAGUUGAACUCCGACAGCUGAGGCGGCUGAGGAGAUUAGACUCCAGAGAUAAUGAUAUUAGGAAAUCCAAACUGAAAUGGACCCCAGAGCAAUUGAAGAAAGAAAGAGUCAAGACAAAAAAAAGUUGCUGAUUCCAGUCUAGAGGAAACAGUAAGGAAGAGAAAAGAGAAAUUCUCAUUAUAGCCAUGGCAAAGGAAGGGACAUUUUUAUGGACUACAUCUCUGCCUGGAUGGCUGUCUC